rnacentral:rRNA from 1 species
UUACGGGAGGCAGCAGUGGGGAAUUUUCCGCAAUGGGCGAAAGCCUGACGGAGUGACGCCGCGUGGGGGACGAAGGCCUUCGGGUUGUAAACCCCUGUCAGAGGGAAAGAAGGCGUUGCGGGUGAACAGCCCGCGACGUUGACGGUACCUUCAGAGGAAGCCCCGGCCAACUCUGUGCCAGCAGCCGCGGUAAGACAGAGGGGGCAAGCGUUGCUCGGAAUCACUGGGCGUAAAGGGCGCGUAGGCGGGAUGGCAAGUCGGUCGUGAAAUCCCUGGGCUCAACUCAGGGGGGUCGGCCGAUACUGCCGUUCUUGAGGGAUGCAGAGGAGACUGGAAUUCCCGGUGUAGCGGUGAAAUGUGUAGAGAUCGGGAGGAACACCGGUGGCGAAGGCGGGUCUCUGGGCAUUCCCUGACGCUGAGGCGCGAAAGCGUGGGGAGCAAACGGGAUUAGAUACCCUGGU